rnacentral:sRNA from 1 species
UCGACCGGUCGCUGCGCCAUCCGUCCCUCGAUGUGGCGAUCGGUUCACAGGACUAUCCUGCGGAGGCGCGUCGCUUUUCCCGAGCGGCGCGUC